ensembl:lncRNA
ACCCUUUCGUCUUGCGAGUUUUUGUCUUGCAAGGCAUUCGUCUUGCGAGACUUGGAUCCUGCCAAAGUCUGUACUGGAAAGGGGGCUGUGACCCUCUGGGCGUCUCCAACCUAUGAGGAGAAUCGGAGCGUCAGUCCUACAAGUCAUUCACAAGACGUCCACCAAUCUGAAAAUGAUUGGAGGUUACCGCUUAGUGUCGACUCCAAUGGGGAUGCUCAGUCCUCUGCUCUGGCUGCCAAGGGCUACCGCAGUGUGCGGCCAAACCUCUCUGAGAGCAAACCACACGACCCCUGUCCUCUGCUCUAUGAAGCGCCCAGGUCCAGCAGUGGCACAGAGUGCUAUGGCUCCCUAACUCUCACCAGCAAACCCACCUCUGGGUACCCCUCCACCACCAUAGUCAACCCCACCAUCGUCCUUUUGCAGCACAACAGAGAGCCAGCGAUAGAUGUGCCACUAGUGGAUAAAGUAGAUUAUAUGCCUGUCCAAGAAAAGAUGAGCCAAAGCAAGAAACAAGGAAUGGAGGAAAGGAAGAAAGUAAUUAAGAGUCCACAGUACAUGACCGAUUCCUCACCGGAUGACAUAGGCAUUCCAUUAAGGAACACGGACCGAUCAAAGGACUGGUACAAGACGAUGUUCAAGCAGAUUCACAGGCUGACAAAAGAUGAAGAUUCCGAUUCCUGUGUGCCUCAGUACUCCUUUUACAAAGACACAAGAGCACAGACUUCAGUACCCCGUUCCAAGAGCGAGAACGACACUAUCGACAUGGAGAAAGUGGUCAAGAGAUCUGCCACUCUGCCCCUGCCAGCUCGUACCUCUUCUCUUAAACCGAGCACUGAAAGGAAUGAUUGGGAGCCUCCGGACAAGAAGGUGGACACAAGAAAAUACCGCGCUGAACCUAAAAGCAUUUAUGAAUAUCAGCCAGGAAGGUCCUCUGUUCUGAACAAUGAAAAAUUGACUCGGGAUAUAAGCCCAGAAGAGAUAGAUUUAAAGAAUGAGCCUUGGUAUAAAUUCUUUUCGGAAUUGGAGUUUGGGAAACCGCCUCCAAAAAAGAUUUGGGAUUAUACUCCGGGAGAUUGCUCUAUCCUUACUAGAGAGGAUAGAAAGGUAAUUCAAACAUACGUUGUACUAUACUCGCCGUAUUCCCCCAGCUACCAUUCUGCAAAGAGAGAGUUUGAAACAGCUCUGGGAGAUGCCACCGGGCCGGAAAACGAAAGGCAAAUAUACAAAAGUGUUUUAGAAGGUGGCGAUAUCCCGCUGCAAGGGCUAAGCGGUCUCAAACGUCCCUCCAGCUCGGCUUCCACUAAAGAUUCAGAAUCACCAAGGCAUUUUGCACCACUUGAUUACAUGGAGAGUCCUGAAGAAUUUUCCCGCAGGCGCCACAGUGAUAAAGAGAUGAGAGCUGCCAGAGCGAAGUUUGACUUUAAAGCCCAGACACUCAAGGAGCUCCCACUGAAGAAAGGGGAUGUCGUUUACAUUUAUAAGCAAAUUGAUCAGAAUUGGUUUGAAGGCGAACACCAUGGCAGAGUUGGAAUUUUCCCACAAUCAUACAUAGAGCUACUCCCUCCCACAGAAAAAGCUCAGCCUAAGAAAACAUCACCGAUACAAGUCCUGGAAUACGGUGACGCUAUUGCCAAGUUCAAUUUCAAUGGUGACACUCAAGUGGAAAUGUCUUUCAGAAAGGGCGAGAGGAUCACACUGAUUCGGCAAGUGGACGAAAACUGGUAUGAAGGAAAAAUCCCCAGCACUCACCGCCAAGGCAUCUUCCCGGUCACAUACGUGGACAUUUUCAAGCAGCCGGUGCUGAAGAACACACUAGACUAUGGCAGCUUGUCGUUCUGCCACUCCCCAAACCGGAGUCUGACAACAUCCCCGCAGGUACCUAGCAGCGCACAGAAACGCCGUUUACCUUCCCGCCGGAGCAGUACCUAUUUAUCUACUUCAUUGUACAGCUAUGUCCCGCAGAAUGAAGAUGAGCUGGAGUUAAGAGAUGGAGAUAUCAUAGAUGUCAUGGAGAAGUGUGAUGACGGCUGGUUUGUUGGUGAGCAUGACAUCUGUCAUUUCAACUCGUUUUUAAAACGUUAA